rnacentral:tRNA from 1 species
GGGGAUGUGGCUCAGUGGCAGAGCUGCUUGCCCAGCAAGGACAAGGCCCUGGGUUCAAUCCCCAGCACCAUCA